AAAAAGAUGUCAUGAUCUUAGCAUAAAGACAUCAUGAAUUUACCAGACAUUCCUUCACAGCUAGACUCUAAGGGUUUCUGGAUUUGGAUCUAACUACUUAGGUUCAAAUCCUAACUCUGCCUCUCACAGGUUUUAUCACCUUGAGAAGACAGAAAACAAAAACACCUGCCUCUUAGCAAGGCUCAACCAGCUACCAUGGACCUUUGUGUGGAAAACUUGCAAUAGAUAGCAAUAGAUAUUUUAGCAUCUCCAAGAACUAGCUAGGAAAGUCGCAUUUGUCAUUCAGAUAAAUACAACAAAGGAGUGUGCCCUGAGACGGAAAAACUGGAUUAAUCUGAUUCAGGUAACUCUGGAAGGGAGAAUGGGGGGCAGUCACACAACAAUGGGGGUGAAAUGGACAAUUAGAAGCUGAGGCGGAAGGGAAGAGUGACCAUGACAUCAUCGUUCGGGAACACCAAAUCAAAUAGCAGGCUUCAGGGAAUAGGAGGGGGUACACUGAACUGGGACACCGCUCAGCCUUCAUGACUGUGCUUUGGCCUUGCUCUCAAAGGUCAUGUGUUACAAAGUUAAUCCUGAGGGCAACAGUGUAGUAAAGUGGUACUUUUAAGAAGUAACAAAGCCAGGAGGUUCUGCCUUUCUGAAAGGAUUAGUAUCCUUUUCACAAAACAGAGAGCCCUCAGUUGGUAUAUCCCUCCAUCGUAGACAGCUCAGCCUCCAGAAGCACAAACAACAAAUUUCUGUUCAGUAUGAAUUACCCAGGUGAAGUAGCAGAAAGAGGAAGAUGUCAAACUCCAGUCAUGGAGGAGAGGUCGUGCUGUGCCACGUAAACAGGUUCAUCUCGUGCACCACCUGCCUGGAAACUGUAGUCAACUGCUUCCAUAAAGAACCUACUUUCCUGUUAGUUGAAAAUAGAAACUGUGGUACUUACACUUGGGUGCUCACUGCUGGUGUGUGAGUCAAGCAGACACAACGAGAAAGUACACCCUGCCUGGUGAAGGCAGAAGACAAAAUCAGAGUGAUAUUUCCAUCUGAAAGGUUUUUAUUCUGAAUAAUAAAAUCACUUCAUUCUAAUUAAGUCAAAUAAAAAUAUCGCACAGACAGCCUAAGGCGGCCACUCAAACACUUGCCGAGUCCCGAACACUGUGUGUCUCGGUGAACAUUCAGUUAGGGUAGUCAUCUGGAAGCUGAGAAGCUUAGCUUAGGGUUUUACUUUUUCCUUAUCAACUACGUCUUUAUAUAUCAGAUGACCCAAAAUUAAGGAAAAGACUAUGACAGAGUUACUAGAAAAACAAUUGGCUCUGUAUGUUUUCAUGGCUCUGCCAUCAUUCUGUCCCGUCACACAAGACUAUCCUCUCUUGGUUUCCUUUCUAAAUGACAUGCUGUACGCUCACCUAGAGCUGCUCUUACAUAAGCAUGGACACAUUAUAGUUUAGGAUCUGCAUCUAAGGGAGAACACACGUUUUCUUUUCCUUCUGAGUUUUUGUGACAUUGCUUAACAUUCCAUCUUCCAAGUCCACAUAUCUUCCUGCAAUUUCCGUGGAUUAAUUUUUGUUUACGGCUGAAUAAUAUUCCACCUUUGAAGGUACUGCAUUUUUGAUCCAUUCAUCAGCUGGUAGACAUGUAAGUUGGUUCUUAUCACAGAAGAGCUAUAAGCAUGGAUGUAUAGGUCGCUCUCAAGUAGGAUAUUAAGUUCCCUGGAUGUGUGCCCAGGAGCAUAGUUGCUGGGUCACACGAGAGUUCUAUUUUUAAACUUUUGAGGACCCUCCAGAUCUCCAUAAUAGCUGUAUUAAUUUACCCUGUAUUCGGGGAUGGUAUCCACUUGAAAUAGGAUGAGGUUGAAAUGCAAAGACACUUCAAUUUGCACUGCCCAGUGACAGAAAUGUUGGACGCUUUAAAAUGGUGACUGUCAUUCUUGCUUCCCCUUUUGGCAGUUAUCUGUUCAUUUCCUUGAUUGCCAGUUUUCUCUCCUCUGUAUUUGAGUGCUGUAAUUGUUUGUGAAUUCUGCAGUUUAGCUCCUGUCAGAAGUGGACCUGGUACGGAUUUUCUCUCAUUCUUGGGGCUGUUUGUUCUGUUCACAGUUCCUUUGUUAUACAGACACCUUUUAACUUCGUGUAGUUUACUGAUUCUUGGGGCUAGUUCUUGUGCUACGGGUGUUCUAUUCAGAAUGCUCCUGCCUACCCCAAGGUUUUAAAGAGAUGUCCUGUGUUUUCCUCUAGCACUUUCAGUUUAAACAUUUUCUUAAGAUCUAUUUUGUUUUAUGCAUAUGAGUGUUUUGCCUGCCUGCAUAUAUGUGUACCAUGUGCAUAUCUGAUGCCUGUGGAAGGGAAAGUAGAACAUCAGUUCUUCUGGACCUCAAGUUACACAUGGUUCUGGGGUUUUACUGCUGUGAAGAGAGAACACGACCAAAGCAAUUCUCACAAAGGAAAACAUUUAAUUGCGUCUGGCUUACAGUUUCAGAGACUUAGUCCGUUAUCAUAAUGACAGUGGUCCAGGCAGACAUGCUGCUGGGAAAGGAGCUGAGAGUUCUACACCUUGAUCUGCAGGCAGCAGAAGGAAACUGUGUGCCACACUGGUUAUAGCUUGAGCAUAAGAGACCGCAAAACCCAACCCCAUAGUGACGCACUUCCUCCAACAAGAC
rnacentral:sRNA from 1 species